rnacentral:ncRNA from 2 species
AUUUAGACAUGCGACUGACGGAAACAGAGUGAUCUGUGUAGGGGUACCUACAGGGAGCAUGUGAAUAAAGAAGAGCCGACCGUCUGGGCAAACACA